rnacentral:snoRNA from 1 species
AUUUCGUGGUGCGGGCAACAUCGGAGCAAGUCCUUGUACCUCUCCCAGGCAUCAUACAUACUUUUGUCAUCGAACUGCACAAAAGAAGAUAUAUUAUUUCUCAAUUU